GUGGCUAUAGCUCAGUUGGUAGAGCCCUGGAUUGUGAUUCCAGUUGUCGUGGGUUCGAGUCCCAUUAGCCCCCCA
rnacentral:tRNA from 1 species